rnacentral:rRNA from 1 species
GUCCGCGGCCGUGCCACCCUGAACAUGCCCGAUCCCAUCUGAUCUCGGAAGCUAAGCAGGGUCGGGCCUGGUUAGUGCUUGGAUGGGAGACCACCUAGGAAGACCAGGUGCUGUAGGUG